AGAGUUUGAUCCUGGCUCAGGACGAACGCUGGCGGCGUGCCUAAUACAUGCAAGUCGAGCGGAACCUUUGGAGCUUGCUCCAUUGGUUCAGCGGCGGACGGGUGAGUAACACGUGGGCAACCUGCCCUGCAGAUCGGGAUAACUCCGGGAAACCGGUGCUAAUACCGAAUAGUUUGCGGCCUCUCCUGAGGCUGCACGGAAAGACGGUUUCGGCUGUCACUGCAGGAUGGGCCCGCGGCGCAUUAGCUAGUUGGUGGGGUAAUGGCCUACCAAGGCGACGAUGCGUAGCCGACCUGAGAGGGUGAUCGGCCACACUGGGACUGAGACACGGCCCAGACUCCUACGGGAGGCAGCAGUAGGGAAUCUUCCGCAAUGGACGAAAGUCUGACGGAGCAACGCCGCGUGAGUGACGAAGGUUUUCGGAUCGUAAAACUCUGUUGUGAGGGAAGAACAAGUACCAAGUAACUACUGGUACCUUGACGGUACCUCACCAGAAAGCCACGGCUAACUACGUGCCAACAGCCGCGGGUAAUACGUAAGUGNCAAGCGUUGUUCCGGAAUUAUUUGGGCGUUA
rnacentral:rRNA from 1 species